GUGGGGAAUAUUGGACAAUGGGCGAAAGCCUGAUCCAACCAUGCCGCGUGUGUGAAGAAGGUCUUCGGAUUGUAAAGCACUUUAAGUUGGGAGGAAGGGCAGUAAGUUAAUACCUUGCUGUUUUGACGUUACCGACAGAAUAAGCACCGGCUAACUUCGUGCCAGCAGCCGCGGUAAUACGAAGGGUGCAAGCGUUAAUCGGAAUUACUGGGCGUAAAGCGCGCGUAGGUGGUUUUGUAAGUUGGAGGUGAAAUCCCCGGGCUCAACCUGGGAACUGCCUCCAAAACUGCAUGACUAGAGUACGGGAGAGGGUAGUGGAAUUUCCUGUGUAGCGGUGAAAUGCGUAGAUAUAGGAAGGAACACCAGUGGCGAAGGCGACUACCUGGACUGAUACUGACACUGAGGUGCGAAAGCGUGGGGAGCAAACAGGAUUAGAUACCCUUGUAGUCC
rnacentral:rRNA from 1 species